rnacentral:lncRNA from 1 species
GGACAUUGUGUUUUGUGCACCUGCUCGAACUGAAACAAUUGAACUUGUAGCAAUACAAUUUUUUAGUGAUUUAGUAAUUGAACUGAUGGUCUUUUUGUCGAAUCGUGCACUGAAGAACUGGUGCAAGUCAUAUGGAAAAUAUACCAAAGAGAAACCGGAGGUGUGGCAGCACCGUUGUAGCACUUGUGGCUUUUAUAACAUUUUCAAGAGAAUCUAACCAUACACUUGCUGGCAAAAUGGAACUUCAAAUAAAGCUAUUUGGCAAGAGGCAACAUAGGGUAUCCUUUCUUUGCCAUAUUAUACCAAAUAACAAACAACAAAAAUUGGUUCUCAUAAGCAUUUCAACAAGCACCUAUAGACCAUCAAUUAUUCUCAUAUAAGUAUGGAAUCGAAUGGAGCAGCAGUAUAUAAGAAAACAAAAACCAUGGAACAUGGCGAUAAACAUCUAUACUCACAAUGGCAAAGUGUUUGUACUGCCGAAACAAACCUGCAAGAUGAACCAAAGGGGAGCUCCUUCACCUGCAAGAUGAAAAGAAAAUGCACACUAAGAUGACCUGAAGAACCACCAGAUGUUGAACUGAAUAUACAGAAGAGAAGGAGAUGAACAUCCAGGGGAAGGUGGGGAAAAGCUAGCACCUCCUGAGCUAUGGCGUAGAACAGUUUAGCGCUAUGUUGUUGAACGGCCCAAGCUGGUGGCUGUGAAUGGCCGGGGCGCUGCAGCAACAAAGCAUAAGACAUAAAACUCUGAGUAACUCGAUGGAAAUUAAGCAAAUUCAAAACUUAGUUUUGCUAAUUUUCUGGGUUAACAGGACAAUACGUAAGAAUUAGUGGUCAUGGCAUGCACUAGCUUUUUGAAUAAAAACAUUCCUAGGGAAGAUAUAGCUUCCUCCCCACCCUUGAUGAACUAUUCUUUCUUGAAAUGGCGGCCAUUUCACUUGAAACUAUCUACCAUGAUUACCUAUUGGUGCCUAGUUAAUUCAUUAACUGAUGGUGCUGCUCUUAGAGCUUUUAGAAGGCCAAACAUGUGUACAUGAGAUCGUGUUUCUACAUGCCAAUAAUCCCUCUUUUAUAGUUGUUUGGAUAAAGUACACUGCCAAUUCAACAAAUCCUUCUCAUGAACUUCUAAUACAGAGCGUGUUUAAUUUCAUACUGAGCACAAAGCAUAACUGAUGCCACAGCGGGGCUAUUGGCAGAAUACACAGCCCACUGCCGCAUUUUACGGAAAAAAAAUCAUUACGCACACUGAACUUACUAGGAGAGAUCGUAGUGUUCAAACCUGCAGCAAAACUUGGCAAGAGGCCAACUAUGGAUCCCGCCGCGCAGGAGGCCAUGUACUGAUGUUAGUUUACAUACUGAACUGACACACCUAGUUUGUCUUUUCAGGAAAUAAAAUAGAUGAUAGUUAAUUAUGAUGAUGAUAUCGCAACAUUUCUUCCCACAAUAGGAAAUUUAUCUCCUGAAUCUUAACAAAGUGAAGCCCCAAACCUGUCAGAGCUUAUGCAAACACUACAGCAGUACAACCACAAAGUAUACAAAUUAUAAGGUGGACUUGUCAAGUUGGCUUCUCUGAACUUGUUUUUUUGGUCUAAACUAUUUUGAGUUUUUAUGUCAAUAUAUAGUAGUCAGCAUAUAACAACAUUUAGCAACAGCAAAUUGGGCAGC